AUGCCCUCAUUACCAGCUUCUGAUGGGUUUCAAAAUCCAGUCCAGUCUUCAGGACUAAAUUCCAAGAUCUCUAAUCCCACAAAUCAGUUACUUGAUCGUUCUGUCUCUGCCCCUGCUUCAAUUUGCUCAUCCGAAUCCAGCCUUGCAGAGCCCAUUGAUCCUAGAGCUGUCAAGACUUCUGACUCUUCACCUGAACACCAGAUAACCCCAGAAAAAGAACAUGCUCUGGUAUUACAGCAUCAUUCCAAUAGCUCUUCCUUGGCAAAUAAUGACCCCUCUCUGCACAGCGGAGAUGGAACCUGCUCCAAUCCAGCUUGCCUUUCACAGAAGACACUCAAAGAAACAUUUAGUGCUGACAUUUUAAAGGAAUGUAAUGCUAAAGAACAAGAUCAUGGUCAGGAACAUCCUCUGGAAGUGACAAAAGUCUAUUUGGAUGACACUGCUGCCAAGCACAGGCAGGAUAAAGAUGUCUAUCUGUCUUCAAAGCAGGAGCAAAAACAUGAGCUUCCCACAGACCAUCGGAUGUGCAAAGAGCUAGAAAAGGAACAUCUUGAGGAGCAAACUGAGAAAACUGACCCAGAACCUCCUUGCUGUGUUGGUGGGGUUGAGAAACCUGCUGUGGCUGAAGCCAAACAGCCAGAAAAUCCUCCCAUGGAAAUGAGAGAUGAACUGGAGAGAGCAGGUCUUUCCUGUGUGAAAGGGAGUAUCCAACUGUCAGCCUCCUGUAGCCAUGUGCACAUGGAAGCCAUCAUGGAAAUAGAUGCAGUGGAGCAGGCUGCAGCUGAAGCUCAGAGCUCAGCAAGGCAGCAGAGGCAGCAGACUGAGAACAGACAAAUUUCCAGCCUGAACUCGGAGGCCCUCUCCAUGGAGGUGGAGUUGCUCAAGUCUCCGUCCUCCUUGAGUGAUGUCCUGCAGUCUAAAAGCACUAGUGAGAUUCCUGCAGAGUACCACGAGUUGGCUAAUUUUGGCAGCAGACAGCUCUUCCCCCUCCAGCACCCAAGAGCUGGACACGGAUGCAGGAAGACCUUCAGAAGAGCCAUGUUUCCCUCUAGCAUCAGCCUUGAAAGAGCUUCACAAACUCUUGGUUAUCAGUCGGAAAGGAGAAUGCAAGAUCCUUGCCUCAGAAGAAGUCUCCCAGCUGGAAACGGUUCAGAGAGAGCCAGCAGUGCAGCAGAAGGGACUUCCUGA
rnacentral:lncRNA from 1 species